CCAAUAGCGUAUAUUAAAGUUGUUGCAGUUAAAAAGCUCGUAGUUGAAUUUCGAGACCGGCUUACCGGUCGUGCUUUUGUACGUACUGGUAUAAUCGGUUUCUCCUUUCUGACGAACUUUAAUGCCAUUAAUUUGGUGUUUUAGGGAAUCAGGACUGUUACUUUGAAAAAAUUAGAGUGUUUAAAGCAGGCUCACGCUUGAAUACAUUAGCAUGGAAUAA
rnacentral:rRNA from 1 species